UACAGAGGCCUCAAGCGUUAGGCGGAAUCACUGGGCUUAAAGCGUGUGUAGGCGGAUCGUUAAGUGUCUUGUGAAAUCCCACGGCUCACCCGUGGAACUGCUGGGCAUACUGGCGAUCUUGGGCCAACUAGGGGCAACUGGAACAAGCGGUGGAGCGGUGAAAUGCGUAGAUAUCGCUUGGAACGCCGAAGGUGAAAACAGGUUGCUGGGGUUGUGCCGACGCUGAGACACGAAAGCCAGGGGAGCAAACGGG
rnacentral:rRNA from 1 species